rnacentral:rRNA from 1 species
GCAUCCCCCAAGAUGAGACCUCCCUUCCCGAUUUGCGUCGGGAGUAAGAUCGCAGAGAGACUAUCUGCUUGAUAGGCCGGAUGUGUAAGGACGGUAACGUUUUCAGCAUACCGGUACUAACCGAUCGAGAGGCUUGACCCA